GUGGAUUUAGCUCAGUGGCAUAAGCACCUGCCUUGCAAGCAGGUGGUCGUGAGUUUGAUCCCCAUUACCGAUA
rfam:Cavia porcellus supercont2_38 genomic scaffold, whole genome shotgun sequence.